rnacentral:lncRNA from 1 species
AUGAGCAAAGUUGUCAAAGGUGCAGGAAAGCAACUGUGUUUUCAAGUUUUAUCAAUCAAGGACAGCACCACUGGACCCAGAUGUCCUGGCUUGGUAAUUAAUGGCCAUUACUGCUGCUGGAAUAAGCAUGCGUUCCAGGAAAAAUUUCCCAGGCAAAAUCUGUUUAAAGGGAUUUGCUAGCUAUAUAUGAUUGGCACAGUUGAUAGAUACUGUUAGUGUGUCAUUCUAUACAUUUUUAGAGAGAUUUAAACUAUAUAAAUGAUUGUUGGGCAUCAGAAAAAUGUCCUCCAUUAAGACAACAAUAGGAUAUUGAAGUUUUUUUCAUUGUUAUAUCCAAAGACCACGAAAGUCAAUGGGAAUCUUAAGAGACAUUUGGAUCUGGCUUUCCAAGCUUACUUUUUUCCCUGUCUGCUUGGCUGUGAAUUUAACAGAACUGUGUGUUAUUUUCAGUGGGAAGGCUAUCCUUACAGCCAG